rnacentral:rRNA from 1 species
AUACGUAGGGUGCAAGCGUUAAUCGGAAUUACUGGGCGUAAAGCGUGCGCAGGCGGCUUUGUAAGACAGAGGUGAAAUCCCCGGGCUCAAACUGGGAACUGCCUUUGUGACUGCAAGGCUAGAGUACGGCAGAGGGGGAUGGAAUUCCGCGUGUAGCGGUGAAAUGCGUAGAUAUGCGGAGGAACACCGAUGGCGAAGGCAAUCCCCUGGGCCUGUACUGACGCUCAUGCACGAAAGCGUGGGGAGCAAACAGGAUUAGAUACCCGGGUAGUCCACGCCCAAAACGAUGUCAACUGGUUGUUGGGUCUUCAUUGACUCAGUAACGAAGCUAACGCGUGAAGUUGACCGCCUGGGGAGUACGGCCGCAAGGUUGAAACUUAAAUGAAUUGACGGGG